GUAUCCAUCAGUGUUCUAGCCCAGUAACCCCUAAGAUAUAAAACCAGGAUGGGCUGCUUUUUGGGGUCCCUCAGCUGCAGUGUAAGUGGGGCAUGGGCAGACAGCAGUCCCUCCACCCCAGGCAUCUUUCCUGAGCCUCGGGGACCUGCUCAUUCUGGAUCCUAGACAUCUGUUGUCCCUCGCUGCCUAUCUUACCGGGAUUUUGUUGGAAGUGAAAAUCCAGACAGCUAAAAAAGCUACAUUUCCCAAUGGCAUUUCCAGCUUUGGCUGGCUCCAAGGCUGUGGAAAAGCAGUGAUUUUGUGGCCACACAGCAGCUAUGAGGAAAGGCGAGAAAAAUCAAAAUGCCAUGGCUCUGAGAUCCCUCAGCAAUGAAACUAAAUCCGUGAACCACCCAAAUCCAGAUUCAAUUCAUUUACCUUAACCACUGCUUUGCAGAUUUCUGUUUCAGCCUAAGGGUUUUCUCCUUUGCUGGGUACUCAUUCUGUCCCCUGCUGGCAGGUGAAGAGGUGCUUUCCACCGUGAUUGUCAGUUUCCUGAGGCCUCCCAGCCAUGUGGAACAGUGAGUCAAUCAAACCUGUCUCCAUUAUAAAUUACCCAGUCUCAGGUAUGUUUUUAUUAGCAGUAUGAGAAUGGACCAAUACACUUAGUAUUUACAAGUGAGCAAGUAUUACACUUAGUAAUUACACUUAGUAUUUACAAGUGGGGAUGCUGAUAAGGUACACAUGGCAGGCUUCUCAGUUCUGCUCAGAAAAAGAUUUUGUAAAGAACUUAACUUUGCUUUUUCUCUAAGUGGCUCUACAUGACUUGUAGAUAUCUUUAUAAUUGAAAAGAAACUUUUUCUCUUAUUUUCUUCAUUUUGUGGUGAUAUAGCCACAAGUUUACACCUAUGUAAUCAUGAGUCUAUUGAUUUUUGUCAUCAACCACCUCAGGAAAAGAGUUGAGGGAGCAGGUCAUGAAAAGUGAUGGGGAGGAAGAUCCACCAGGGGUUCCACAUCACACUCUGGUCCCAAGGUUGCUGUGGGUUCUUUAGAGCCGGCUCUGGGGUUUCCAGUCUUUUUUCGUGGACUUGGUCAGCCCUUUCCCUUGAUGAGGAAAAGUGGCAUAGAAUGGUGAAAAUCUCGAUGUUCUCUUUGAUGAUUUUCAUUUCCCUUGCACAAGUUAUCAUUCAAUAUAUGUCUACUAAACAUCUAUCACUUUUAAGGUAUCUUUGAUCUCAUUCACAAACUUAAUUAACUAUCUUUACAUACAUUAAUCUAUAUUUUAAAAAUUCUGUUUCCUUUUAAAGUACUUCAAUUCUCUGAUUUUUAAACAAGUUUUUCCUAGAUACUAAAUAAUUUUUAGAAUUGAAUAAAUUAUUCAUACAGAUGCAGUAAACCUCAGUUCUCUUAGAUGCUGCAACACUCUUUAUAAAUUGAGAACUUUCAUCAUGAUUUCCUAAGUCUAAAUAAAUCAGUUACUCAAUUCAGCUAUUAUAUUAGAGUAACAAUGCUAUUACUUUAAAAGGCCAAAUUAUUUUUGCUUUAUAUAAUUUAGGCAUUUAAACACAUACAUUUAUACAGAUGAAAAGUCUUCCACAUGUUUUUUCUGUUCUCUCACAAUAUUUUGUUAUUAUAAUAUUUUUAAGCUAUAUGAAGAAGUAAAAGACUCAACAACUAUACAUUUUAUAAUUUAAAAUACCUUUAAAUUAUCUUUUCUUUGUUUGAAGUAUCAUUAUGAACUCAAUUCUUUAUGGAUUGGAUAUUUUUCAAUUAACUAAAGUCUUUAUUCAUCUUUGGAUGCUCCAACUGUCAACAGCUCAUUGAAUGGGAUUUCCUUUGCGUGCACUUUUGAUAUGAUUCCAUUAACCUUGGACACAUACUCUGCUUUGUGGCACCAGAGCAUGUUUCAGCUUGGAGAUAUGGAAUUACCACAAACUUGUUCUUAUAUUAUGAUGUGAAAUAUCUUUUUCGGCCGGACAUAGUGGCACACACCUGUAAUCCCAGCACUUUGGGAGGGUGAGGUGGGCCGAUCACUUGCACUCAUGAAUUUGAGACAAGUCUGGACAACAUAGUGAGACCUCGCCUCUACAAAAAAUACAAAAAUUAGCCGGGUGUGGUGGCAUAUACUUAUAGUCCCAGCUACUUGGGAGGCUGAAGUGGGAGGAGAACAAGACACUGUCUCAAAAAAAAAAUUCUUUCACAUUUAAUGUGUUAUACUAUUCAUUAUCAUGUUACAGUAUUUAUAUUGUACCAAUGGUUGCUAUGUAUCACUCCAAAUGGUUCUCUCAGGUGGUCUUGUUUGGAUGCAAUAGCAGUCAAAAUCUUCAGAUUUCCUGAAGGGAAAUUCAGGAGAUGAUCCCUCUCUAGGAAUUUCUCAUGAUUAGCCCAGAACAGUAUAUGCAAAUAUAUGCUGUAGAGGUUUGGUCAAAAAUCUCCUUUUGACUAACGUGACAAAUCCAACUUUACUUCACAGGUCUGUUUUUUAAGCAUUCUCAUUUUAACGACAUGAAUCCCUCUUGUGAAAUCCAAAAUUUUAGAGGCUAUUGGAAAUUAUAAAUCUAUUUCUAUGACAAAUUUUGACUUCCAAAAACUAACUGAACAAUUUUAGAAAAUGUUUACAAGGUAUACAUAAAUACUAAAUGUAAUAUUAUUUUAUAGAUUCUAUAAAUUCGAUUAUAAAUGCAAAUUUUUAGAGUUGUGUUAAUUUACAAAAUUUUAACUUAAACCCUAAAGCCUUUCAAUGACAAUUCUAAAUUCCUCUUUCAUUUAUUUAAGAUUUUGUCUACAUUUAGUUAAGAAAUGCAAAUACUUGCAGAUUUGAUAUGUCCCAAAUUUCCAAAUUUGUAUUACUAGUAACUUUUCAUUUCCACGAAGAAAAACAAAAUAUUCUUCUAAAGCAAUUAAGGUAAAAUAAUAAAGUUUUCAGUUUUGUUAUACAAUGUAUGCUUUUUAAACACAUUUUAAAAUGUAAAUUGAAUUUAACAUUUAUCUUUAAAAUUAGAAAGAAAGUGUUUUAGAAAACAAAGAGAUUUAUAAAUUAUUCUUUAACUAAUGGAUAGGGGACUGGGGAAGACAUUCAUCCCUCGCAACUUUCUUUUCUUUUUAAAAAUUGUUUAGUAAUUAUUUAUUAUUAUUAUUAUCAUCAUUAUUAUUAUUAAGUUCCGGGGUACAUGUGUAGGAUGUGCAUCAGCCUCCCACCUUUUUAAAUCUGAACUUUUGCUAUUGGAAGAUUUAAUGCUGACUCUUUAAAAAAUAAAGACCUUUUUGCCC
ensembl:lncRNA novel transcript